CAUAGGCGAUAGGCCCAAGCAGACCGUUUCCAGAGGCCGAAAUCCCCACCGCUCACUCCGAAGUCCAAACCCUAGGUUACUCAUGGUGCAAGAAGAACCUAACAUCACCACCCCCGACGCCGGCCACCCCUCCCCGCCAUCCCGCCUCCUCUCGAAGCACCGCCCUCGCCGCGGCGCUGCUGCUCCCCGCGCGUCCCUGCAUCCUCCUGCUCCCCCGCACAGCCAGCCCAACCUCAACCUCUGCCACUGCUGCGGUGUGCGCUUCCCGCCGGCGCCGCCGGGGGCCAAGCGCCGACCGGUCCGCCCCCUCCGGUCCCUCUGGCGCGUCGUCCUCCUCUGCACGGAAUGCCUCUCCCUCGUCCGCUCCGCUGCAGUUUGCUCCUACUGCCUCUCCCUCGACAACCUCCCGCCCGAGGACUCCUCUGUCACUUGCCGAUGCUGCAACCGCUGCGUCCACCCCUACUGUAUCGCAGGUGAGCAUCGCGCCGCCCUAAUCCAGCCCAUCGAUGUGGAGAAUUUCAUCUGCGUCGAUUGCUGCCCGACCGUCAAGCCGGGUGGAAAAAAUGGGGGCGCCUCUUCCGUGCAUAUGCUGCAGGCAGUCGCCAGGGAGCCGAGGAAGGGGGAUAUCGUGGCUGAAUCAAAAGAGAAUGCUGUGAGGAAGGCUAUGGAAAUGAAGCUGGCUUUCAAGCGUGCGAAGGAAGCGUUGGUCUCUGCUGCUGGUGGUAGGGGAUCUCAGAGGACGGUUGGUGGUAAACCAGAUUUGCCGGAUGAAGAGUUGGCGUUGCAGCUACAUCUGGCGAUGAAUGGGUCUCAGAGGUUUUCGCGUGCCGGGAACACAUCUGGUGGUGACUCAGCCGAGCAGUGCAAGGGUCACAAAAGUGUGAUUGGUGGGAAGAAUUUUUAUGGAGAUCAGGAACUUUGUGUUACCAAUAUGAUGGAUCAGCUUGAUGAUGAUGAAGCUGGAGUAGAACCACUGUGUCGGAUCAGGAGGCCUUCUAGGCGGCGAUUGGAUCCCUCAGUCACUAUUGUUCUUGCGCUAGAGUAUGUGGAUGGUAAACAUGUCAAGGAGAGUAUGAAAGGUAAAAGGAAAGGUCAUCUUGUGACUAAGAAGCAGAAUGACUUGGUGGAUCGAUAUAAGAGAAAGUAUAGCAAGAGGAAUUCAAAGAAGCAGACAAAGAAUGAAAACCCUGAAUUCAAAGACAUCUCUGGUGGAAAAGAUAAGGAUGAUGAGUGAUGGUGGUAAUUACAUAGUUCGCAUGAAAUAUAACUUCUCUGGAGUGCUUCCUGAUUGGGCCAGAGGAACAGGUAGUCUGCGGUUGGACAGUCAUCGCACUGUUUAUCAGGCAUUGGGUGCUGCUUCAUGUCCGGUAUGGGCAACUGGGCAUGGGCUGUUGGGGUUUUGCAUCUCAGACAUGCAUAGUCCUUCAUGUUUUGCACAAAAGGCUUUGAUAUUUUCUAAAAUAGUGAAACAGUCCACCCACUACCUACAUCUCAUUUGAAAUUUUGCCAAAAAUACCAUUAUCCUUAUGUGAAAUAUAAUGUGAAGUUUAGAAAAUUUCAGUUCUAGGGAUAGCGCUGUAAUUGUAAAAUGUAUGAGGACAAUGUUGCAAAAAGGCAUCCAAAACUUAUCUCCUCCACUGCCUACCCCAUCUCCAACCCCGCAUGGCACCUCCCUAUGCUGAACCUGGCCGCUGCCCUGCAUCCCUCCCCUCCUCCUCUAGCCGCACUGAGCCGGCAGAGAUGGCGCCGCCCCAAAUCCGGACAAUGCUGGACCUGGCCCAGAUCCAGUCACAACGGACUCUGCGGAAGGAGCGCUGCCACGGCCACCUGACCUGGGAAUCUGAGUAAGGUAAAUCAUGGACAACGGCAGCACGCGAUAGUGGUGGGGCAUACGAGGAUGAGGGGCACUGGGUGGUGGCGCUUCCUUUCACUGUUGCACCCAAGGAAUGCUCCGUGGCCAUCUCCAGCUCCGGGGACUCUCUGAUGACUGCACCCUCGUUGCCAUCGACGGAGUGGCCAAGCCGUUCACCACAGCAUGGUCGCCUCUGUGCUUCUUCGACCGGCCACUGCUCCAAUGUGCUUGUCGUCGACUUCCUCAGAUAUCGAUGUGUGGUUCAAAGAAGAAGGCACGCAUAUUCGGGAGAACAGUACAUUGUUGGAAUCAAAAGUUCCAUUACACAGACAUGUCUUCAAUUGGGUUCGUUGAAGCUUUGCCGGUGGUUAACUUUGUAGAUAGGGCUACUAGACUAAGAUUUACUUGCAGUGCUUUUGAUAUCAUUUUUUUUAAUGAGUACUAGAAUGAAGUGUGUAUGUAGAUGAGCUCCCAUCAUUAUGUGUUGCGUGCAGUUGAUCUUGAUGGUUGUUCAUGCUUCCUGAUUUUUUUUUGUUUGUAAGCUAUUGUCAUUAUGGUAUUGUAGAUAUAUUUUUUAGGCUAAAUGAAAUUAUAGAGGAACAUUUGGUCAAUAAUAGUGAACAUAUAUUUAGAACAUUUCCUUUGCUUAAGUUAUGUUUCAUGAUUGUAGCGAAGGAUUUUUGGGUUGUUGAUCAACUUCUUUCUGCAUAUGGGAUAAUUUUUUAAACUCAAUUUAGGAAACAUAUUUGGCGUCUACAAUUUUAGUUUUUGCAUAUUCAAGAAAUUGAUAGUUAUCCACUUUUGGCUAAAAUUUGAUUGACACAAACAUGAGAACCCCCCUUGAAUUUGCUAGACUGAUCUCAAAUUUUGUGUGCCAUGUAUCUCAUUCCACGCAUACUGGGUUUACAAAGCACUGGUCCCUGGAUGACCAUGCAUAUUGUCCAAGGUGUUAUAUCAUUAGUUUCUAGUUCCUGCAUAAAAAAACUACUGUUUGUUCAUAGUAUAUUGUGAUGGCAUGGUUAUCCUUAUGCCACUAAUUAAGGCUAGAUUAUCCUUGCCUUCACAAAUAUAUAGUAAGGUCAACAACAGUGCUCCCUUCUCACAAUUGGCUGCAUAUUAAAGUCUGAACAUUUACUUUGCGAGAGAAAGAGGUUGUGAGAGAAUGAGUUGGAGAGAAAACAUACCUCUGUUGUCCAGGAUAGAGUACAUGGUCUCUGUUGUUAAUUGGCUUGCAUGUGGUAUGAUAGAUUACCUAGCCUAUAUCCUUUGUGUACCUUUAGUUAUUUCUUUUUUCAUGUUCUCUGUUAAUAUUUAUAUACUGGCUGAUUUGAUGCACAAUGGAAAUGCCUCGCUGUUAUGGUCAUCUUCAUGGCGUGGAAUCGUUUUGUCCAUUUUAUAAUUAACUACUACAUUGUUUUCUGCUCAAUAUUUUUUUUCCACUAAGAUCAAAGAAGAGUGUGUUACUAGAUUGUACUCCCUCCAUUUUAAAAUAUGAGGCACAACCACCCUUAACCCAAAGACCAAGAAAUAAUUAUUAUCACCUCAUAGUUUCGAUUACCCUAAUAAAUAGAAUGCAUGCACCCAAUAAUAUUAGAGAUCUUGAUGGUGGAGGUUUUAAAUAAUAAUAUUUAAGUGGAAAAUAUGUGUUAGUUAAUGACAUGUAUAUAUGCACGCUGCCUUAUAUUAUGGAAUGGAGGGAGUAUUGACAGUUUGCUUUCUCUAUAAUCGACUUCUGCCAUUUCAGUAUCCAGCCAACAUACAUUUUGUUUAUGCAGUCUGGCAUUUGAGUACCGACUCAAUGGCUCAAAAUUGCAGCAACAAUAUAGACGUUACCGAGUUAACAUGUAAGCUUUGUUGAUAGUUCUUUUCGUUGUUGCACUUGUGCUGAUGGUUACCUUUGAUUGUUUGGAUGUUAAAAGCUUCAGGGAAGUGCAACUUUCUCCUAGAGCAGGUACAAUAGCAGGCUAUAAGCCAGCUAUAAACACAUUUCAAGAAGAUAAAAGAAGAGAGAAGGGCAGCGGGCUACAAAUUUGUAGUCAGCUGCAGCAUCCAAGGUGCAUGUGUGUAUGAUAGGUUGGACCAGAUAUUAAUUAUGUAGUAUAUGUUUAUAGGUAACUAUUGUAUCAACUGGCUUUAAGUUGGUUGUAGAUGAUCUGGACCCAGCAGUUGGCUAUACUAUUAAACUUGCUCUUA